CAUCCGCCUGGGGACGGGAGCAACAGCGAAGGUUUUGAAAUAGAGAAAUUCAGAUUUAAGAAUUAAAUAUUUAGAAAGAUUUUGAUUGAAAAGGGGACUGACGAAACUAUAGUGUCAGCUAUAAUUUAUGGUGCUUGCAAAACAGGAAAAGCAGCCAAGCUGCAGGAUGAAGUUGGCAGAUUAAAAUAGAAGAACAAAGACCCACAGGAUGAGGGGGUCCCUGGGAAGAAAAAACUAAUACCAAAGUCCGGAAAUUGACCAAAGGACUAAGAAGAGAGCAUGCGCAGGAAUACAAGUCUCUUACAGAGAAAACUUUAGAGCCACAGUAAGAAGGACCAUUCCAGGUGCUCCUCACCACCUUCACUGCAAUUAAGAUCAAGGAACAGAGUGCCUGGAUUCACCACUCUCGAGUGAAAAAAGCUCCAGAAGCCCCUUGGAAAGUAACAUCAGGAAAAGCAGCCAAGCUGCAGGAUGAAGUUGGCAGAUUAAAAUAGAAGAACAAAGACCCACAGGAUGAGGGGGUCCCUGGGAAGAAAAAACUAAUACCAAAGUCCGGAAAUUGACCAAAGGACUAAGAAGAGAGCAUGCGCAUGAAUACAAGGUGAAAAGUUCAAACUGGGAAGAAGACUAUUUACUUCAUCUAAAAAGACCCCCAAGACCACCAGAGCGACCCAAAAAGGAAUAAUGCGCAGCUGAAAAGAGGUGUGAAACUAAUUUCCAUAUGAAGCAGGGAUAAGCAAUGAAUAUGUAUUAGGCGAAUUGUAUAUUCCUAGUUUGUAGAGAAUAAAAGGCGAGGCGCAGGUCGCCAAAGGUGUGCAUGGCCACACUGUGGGGACUUCAGGCAGCAUCGCGGUUAAAUAGUAAAAAUAUUCCACAAAUGGAAAGGAAGAGGUCACAGAAUCAGGUUGGAAAGCACCUCCGAGGUCAUGGAGUCCGAGCUGUGACCCAACACCACCCUAUCAGCCAAACCGUAGCACUCAGUGCCACAUCCAGUCAUUGCUUAACACCUCCCUGGGCUGGGCAGCUCACUCCAAAGUCUAGUUGCUCUUCAGGUAAGAACCUCCCCUGGCACAACUUGAGGUUGUGUCGUCUUGUCCUAUCCUUUUGGGGGUUUUUAAAUUAUUUUCUCCUUCAAAUCACUGCCAUGCAGAUUGCACUUGAUCUCAGCAGCAAUAUUUGGCAUAAAUUCCAAAGAGGUUUGUUCAUGAAACUAGUGCACUGCUUGCUUUUGGAAUGUCAAGCAACAACUGUAUAGAUGAGGUCAUCUGAUUAAGUGAUCUGGUCUGACCAGUAGAAUAAACCUUAGUCUUAAAGCAGCAAUCUAAGACUUUUUAUGCCCUUGUGGUUAAAAUACUUAUUUGAAUCAAACUUCAUUGAGUAGCAGCUGUAGCUUUGAUUGUACAUAAAUAAAAUAAAUUAUUAAGGACUGCUAUAAAUAAAUAAUUUAAUGACUGCAUACAGAUGGGGCCAACACUGACCUCUCUGUAGCAAAAAAUCAGUCAUAUUGUCUUCUUCAGUUUUAUAUGCAGAGUUUUUUUAGGGCACUAAACAAUUUUCACGAAAUAAAGGCCCUUUUUCUUCUUUUAACUAUAUGUAAGGAUAAGAACAGGAAAUCAAUUACUUAUUUUAUGACUUAGUUCAAGAUGUCUAUGUGGACAUGCUCUUACUGCAGGAUAUUAAAUUUUUUAAUAUUAAGGUUUUGAUGGUUUAUGUAAAGGCACUUCUAAGCAAAUGACCCUUUAUAGCAAGGGUGAUAUUGGAUCUGGUAGUCAAACCUUUUGUAUGCUGCAAGGCAUUUGAUUUCUUCUGCCAUAUCAAAGUCCAUAAACUCCUCACUCUUCAGACCUAAAAUGAAAAAAGAGCUAAUUAAAAACUGUUGAUUUAGUUACAAUGGAAUUAUUUAUAAUGGUAAGAACACACAUGGGGUGUACAUGGUGUUAAAUAUCACACUUAUUCAUUAGCUUGGACAAUCACAUGCAUACAGAAAUAUUGAAUGCAAUUAAAAAUUUCUUAAGAUCUGCUGCAGCCAGCUUCACUAGAUCAUGAAGAAAUAAAUAACAUUUUUGAGAGUGUACAGAAUACAUAAAAAUCUUGUCAGUACCUAUAAUAAUGGAUUAAUUUGUCUUUAAAUAAUGUGCCUUAGUAUUAUACACAUGGAUUCUAUGAGAUAGGCAGUAUUCUGCUAACCAAGUAUGCUUUCUGUUCUUCCAUUUAUACUUUUCAAAGAUUCACAAUGUGUUUGACAUUUGUAAAACUGAACAAAUAUGUGUCUAGAAACUCUGGAAACUUGUAAUGUCCAGAUGUAGAAUUUAGUUAUAUGUAUUUUUUGCCUGUGUGUAUGUUUGUCUGUGUGUGUUUUGAUGUAGGGGUGUGUGUAUGUGCCUGUUCCCAAACCAGCAGACAAAUUCAGGGAGGUUUCUGUUUGCUUUAAAGCCCAGUUGAUUAAUACUGUGAGAAGCAAACAUUGCUGCCAUUCCCACAUACUUGUAUUAUUGUCAACUGUUCUCUUUGCAUGACAGCUGACUGAGCACCUGCCCUCCUGAUUCUGUUCUGUUUUUUACUUUGUUUCAUUUUGUUAUUUCUCAUUCUGCUUUUAGAAAUGUCACAUGUGCUAAUUUUUUUUCCCUUUUAAUUAUCCCUUGGAUGAUUUGCAGACCAUUUUAUCUAGAUACCUUACUUGCAAUCAUUAACUGCUGAGAAGCAGGGUGAGUGAAGAGCAGGCAGCAUCCAAACUAAUAAUCCUACCUGGUGCAAUUCUCUGUGAUGUCAUUCCAGGACUGAGGAUAUAAGUGAUUCUAAAAAGCUGCAGUUCAAGGCAGACAGGCCUAGCUGCUGCUGCACUCCUCUUUACACUGCUAACCAUUGUAAGAAGAAUUAGUGGACAAUAAUCCUUGUUUGGGUGUCAAGAAAGGAAGAUAGAGAAGGAAGAAGCAGCAGGGCAAGGAGGAAGAGUCAUCAGGAAGGAAACUCAGGUGAAGAAGAGUUGGGACUCAUUAAUUCUUCAUUUCUCUACAAGUGUGGCGAAUGUUGAUCAUAGUAGUAACUUCUAGCAUCUCUACAAAAAUGUCAUGCCUCAAGUCAAAUGACUUCUUGGCUUUGGGAGGAGUUUCACAUCAAUAUAACACGUUGAGACAGGAAAAAGUGUAACCCUUUGAAGGAAUGGUGUCUAAUCUCUGAUGUGUCAAAAUGCUUUUGCCUGAAACUCCUCACUUG